rnacentral:rRNA from 1 species
UAGGGAAUCUUCGGCAAUGGGGGGAACCCUGACCGAGCAACGCCGCGUGAGUGAAGAAGGUUUUCGGAUCGUAAAGCUCUGUUGUUAAGGAAGAACGAGUGUGAGAAUGGAAAGUUCAUACUGUGACGGUACUUAACCAGAAAGCCACGGCUAACUACGUGCCAGCAGCCGCGGUAAUACGUAGGUGGCAAGCGUUGUCCGGAUUUAUUGGGCGUAAAGCGAGCGCAGGCGGUCAAUUAAGUCUGAUGUGAAAGCCCCCGGCUCAACCGGGGAGGGUCAUUGGAAACUGGUUGACUUGAGUGCAGAAGAGGAGAGUGGAAUUCCAUGUGUAGCGGUGAAAUGCGUAGAUAUAUGGAGGAACACCAGUGGCGAAGGCGACUCUCUGGUCUGUAACUGACGCUGAGGCUCGAAAGCGUGGGUAGCAAACAGG